rnacentral:tRNA from 1 species
GGUGAUGUAGCUCAGUGGCACAGCACCUGCCUGGCAAGCAUGAGGCCUUGAGUUUGAUUUCCAGUACCA